rnacentral:rRNA from 1 species
AAAAGGAGAAAUCCGGCAAGCGAUGGAUCCGCGUCCGAUUAGCCAGUUGGCGGGGUAAUGGCCCACCAAAGCGACGAUCGGUAGCCGGCCUGAGAGGGCGGACGGCCACAUUGGGACUGAGACACGGCCCAGACUCCUACGGGAGGCAGCAGUGGGGGAUAUUGCACAAUGGGGGAAACCCUGAUGCAGCGACGCCGCGUGGGUGAAGAAGUAUUUCGGUAUGUAAAGCCCUAUCAGCAGGGAAGAAAGAAGACGGUACCUGACUAAGAAGCCCCGGCUAACUACGUGCCAGCAGCCGCGGUAAUACGUAGGGGGCGAGCGUUAUCCGGAUUCACUGGGUGUAAAGGGAGCGUAGACGGCCGUGCAAGCCAGGAGUGAAAGCCCGGGGCCCAACCCCGGGACUGCUCUUGGAACUGUGCGGCUGGAGUGCGGGAGGGGCAGGCGGAAUUCCUGGUGUAGCGGUGAAAUGCGUAGAUAUCAGGAGGAACACCGGCGGCGAAGGCGGCCUGCUGGACCGCGACUGACGUUGAGGCUCGAAAGCGUGGGGAGCGAACAGGAUUAGAUACCCUGGUAGUCCACGCCGUAAACGAUGACUACUAGGUGUCGGGGCACGACAGUGCUCCG